AGCGAACGCUGGCGGCAGGCCUAACACAUGCAAGUCGAACGGAUCCUUCGGGAUUAGUGGCGGACGGGUGGGUAACACGUGGGAACGUGCCCUUUGGUUCGGAACAACUCAGGGAAACUUGAGCUAAUACCGGAUGUGCCCUUCGGGGGAAAGAUUUAUCGCCAUUGGAGCGGCCCGCGUCUGAUUAGCUAGUUGGUGAGGUAAAGGCUCACCAAGGCGACGAUCAGUAGCUGGUCUGAGAGGAUGAUCAGCCACAUUGGGACUGAGACACGGCCCAAACUCCUACGGGAGGCAGCAGUGGGGAAUCUUGCGCAAUGGGCGAAAGCCUGACGCAGCCAUGCCGCGUGAAUGAUGGAGGUCUUAGGAUUGUAAAAUUCUUUCACCGGGGACGAUAAUGACGGUACCCGGAGAAGAAGCCCCGGCUAACUUCGUGCCAGCCGCCGCGGUAAAAC
rnacentral:rRNA from 1 species